CCUACGGGAGGCAGCAGUGAGGAAUAUUGGUCAAUGGUCGGGAGACUGAACCAGCCAAGCCGCGUGAGGGAGGAAGGUACAGAGUAUCGUAAACCUCUUUUGUCAGGGAACAAAGGCGGGGACGUGUCCCCGGAUGAGUGUACCUGAAGAAAAAGCAUCGGCUAACUCCGUGCCAGCAGCCGCGGUAAUACGGAGGAUGCGAGCGUUAUCCGGAUUUAUUGGGUUUAAGGGGUGCGCAGGCGGUCUGUUAAGUCAGCGGUAAAAGCCCGGGGCUCACCCCCGGCCCGCCGUUGAAACUGGCAGUCUCGAGUUGGAGAGAAGUAUGCGGAAUGCGCGGUGUAGCGGUGAAAUGCAUAGAUAUCGCGCAGAACUCCGAUUGCGAAUGCAGCAUGCCGGCUCCACACUGACGCUGAGGCACGAAAGCGUGGGUAUCGAACAGGAUUAGAUACCCUAGUAGUC
rnacentral:rRNA from 1 species